rnacentral:rRNA from 1 species
GGAGGGUGCGAGCGUUGUCCGGAAUCACUGGGCGUAAAGGGCGCGUAGGUGGCUUGGCAAGCGUGUGGUGAAAGCCCGGGGCUCAACCCCGGGUCUGCCGUGCGAACUGCUAUGGCUUGAGCACUGUAGAGGCAGGUAGAAUUCCGGGUGUAGCGGUGGAAUGCGUAGAGAUCCGGAAGAAUACCGGUGGCGAAGGCGGCCUGCUGGGCAGUGGCUGACACUGAGGCGCGACAGCGUGGGGAGCAAACAGGAUUAGAUACCCUGGUAGUCCACGCCGUAAACGAUGGGCACUAGGUGCUUGGGGGAGCGACCCUCUGAGUGCCGUCGCUAACGCAGUAAGUGCCCCGCCUGGGGAGUACGGCCGCAAGGCUG